rfam:Takifugu rubripes chromosome, Chr_1
GUUCUCUGUCAGUUUUGCAUGGUUGCGCUGCAAGAAGAAAUAAGUUGUGCAAAUCUAUGCAAAACUGACAGCGGUC